UGAGAUGUUUUACAGUUAUUUCAAAUUUUUCCUUCUCUUUCUAAAAGAGACCAAAAAGAAUUACCAGAGAAACCAUGGAAAUUGCUUACAGGCCAGUACUCCUCGAGGGAAAGACAGCACAGGGACUGUUAGACAAACAUCAUACCCCCAGGAACAACGCCCUCUGCAGCCUUGGACAUUGGCACUUUUUUUUUACCACAAAGACCCGUGUUUGCCUGAAGAAUGACGUCGUUUCUCCGUUUGUUUGGCUUCUGUAGUGCCCCCUUUAGCCUUUACAUGGACAUCGUGAGAUACCUGAUUUCUCCUCUGCAACACUGCCUUCCUUAGCCCACUUCCUUCUUGAGCCUCUCUUGCACAGCCGUGUGCCAAGAUGUGUGUUUUACUGAAGAUUAUUUGGAACCUCAUGUUGGACCCUGCCGUCUGCUGAAUUUGGAUACGAUGUCUGUAAAGCUGGUGUGGAAAUACACAAAACUCUGACUUUGGGAGGGAAACUGCCAACACCUUUGUAACUACAGCUGUUCCCCACACAAAAUUACCUUUUUUAUUUUGUGAAAUAUGUAACCUCUCAAUACAAAAGCGAGCCAAGGUUACGUUCCAUCACUCAGAGCUUGAUUUUACCUCAGGUCCCUGCUAAAAUUCCUCAGUUCUUGACUGGAGAAGGGCCUGAAAAACCUGAUCUAGUAAGAUCUGCUGUCAGUGGGGUUGGAUCAAAAUCAUUACAUCUGUGCAGAUCCAUAAACAUGGGAGUAUCUUUUUUUGUCAAAUAUGGUAAUGAAAGACGGAUGUGCCUUUCAGAAAAAACAAACAGUAGCACACAUAAAGAAGAGACUGUUAACAGUUUUUAUAGAAAGGUUGUUUAUUUUGUACAAGGUUUGCUUGUACAUAACUUAAUUUAAAAAGAAAAAAAAAAGUAAUGCAGCAGCCUGUAUCCAGACAAAUUGCUGCUGAAAUACCCAAUCUGGUGAUUCACAGCUCCUCACCACAGGAAGGAAGAUUUUUUUCCCUUCUCUCUUCAAAGCAGUGCUCUCUCAAUUAGACAUUGACACUUGCAGGAGUUAGAAAAUUAUCUUGGGCUUCUAAUCAAGUAGAGACGUGUCAGUUUAUGCCCUGUGCUCUGCAGGAAUCAUGCUUAUGUUGGACAUGCCUUGGAAACAAACUAAGCUUUUGUUUAAGUUAAUAAUUCCCCGUGAACUGUCUGGGAUAAAAAAGCCUUGGGUCCUUCUGCUGGCCCAUCAAGAAAGACUCCUCUUGUGCAAGCAAUAGUCACUGCAUUGAAAAAUAGUCUCCAAACUGCGAAUGAACUAACACCCAAGAAAAUCCAUAUUGUCUGUUUCAAAAAUCACCACUAAGUUUGUUUUGAAGUGAAUGAAACAAAGCUCUUAAGGCCACAUGUCAAGAUUAUGCCAUGUUUUGAACUUCUGUAGUCUGAGAUAAAGCAACUCAGCUACACUCCCCUGGGAGAAAAGAGAGGGGAAGGGCUUUUGGGUGUUUGAAACUGCCUUUUUAGCCUGAACUUUGGACAAAAUCCAACAGGAAUUAAGAACUCACAGUAGCCUCCAUUCUUUGUUCUGCAAUUCUCUGACUUCUAAUUUCUAAUAAAACAUGCAGUACAGAAAAGAAAAACAAGACUCAAUCUGCUUGGCAAAGGUCAGAGGCAGCAGCAGCA